rnacentral:rRNA from 1 species
AACGAACGCUGGCGGCAUGCCUAACACAUGCAAGUCGAACGAAGUCUUCGGACUUAGUGGCGCACGGGUGCGUAACGCGUGGGAAUCUGCCCUUGGGUGCGGAAUAACUUCUCGAAAGGGAUGCUAAUACCGCAUAAUGUCGUAAGACCAAAGAUUUAUCGCCCAAGGAUGAGCCCGCGUAAGAUUAGCUAGUUGGUGGGGUAAAAGCCUACCAAGGCGACGAUCUUUAGCUGGUCUGAGAGGAUGAUCAGCCACACUGGGACUGAGACACGGCCCAGACUCCUACGGGAGGCAGCAGUGGGGAAUAUUGGACAAUGGGCGAAAGCCUGAUCCAGCAAUGCCGCGUGAGUGAUGAAGGCCCUAGGGUUGUAAAGCUCUUUUGCCAGGGAAGAGGAUGACUGUACCUGGAGAAUAAGCCCCGGCUAACUUCGUGCCAGCAGCCGCGGUAAU